rnacentral:rRNA from 1 species
AUUAAACGCUGGCGGCAGGCCUAACACAUGCAAGUCGAGCGGAUGACGGGAGCUUGCUCCUUGAUUCAGCGGCGGACGGGUGAGUAAUGCCUAGGAAUCUGCCUGGUAGCGGGGGACAACGUUUCGAAAGGAACGCUAAUACCGCAUACGUCCUACGGGAGAAAGCAGGGGACCUUCGGGCCUUGCGCUAUCAGAUGAGCCUAGGUCGGAUUAGCUAGUUGGUGAGGUAAUGGCUCACCAAGGCGACGAUCCGUAACUGGUCUGAGAGGGUGAUCAGUCACACUGGAACUGAGACACGGUCCAGACUCCUACGGGAGGCAGCAGUGGGGAAUAUUGGACAAUGGGCGAAAGCCUGAUCCAGCCAUGCCGCGUGUGUGAAGAAGGUCUUCGGAUUGUAAAGCACUUUAAGUUGGGAGGAAGGGCAGUAAGUUAAUACCUUGCUGUUUUGACGUUACCGACAGAAUAAGCACCGGCUAACUCUGUGCCAGCCGCCGCGGUAAGAC